AGUUUAAGCCAGAUUCAACCCGGAUUUCUUUCUAGCCAGAUUGCAUUCAGACUUGUUUUACAAAUCUGGCUCAUCCUACUAGGCUGCGUUCAGACUGGAGUUUGCAGUCUCCCUCAAGCCACAUCCUACACCAGAGUGGAAAGUUCUGUUCUGUGCUA